CCCCGCCGGGGGUGCGGAGAGGGUGGGGGCGGAGUAGCCAUCUUGGACUCCGCUCGACCCCGUCUGGUGGCGGGCGACGCCGGUCCGGGCUCCGCGCUGGGGGUCGGGGUACCAGGAAACCUAGGGUUUAUCUCUCGUACUCAUCCACUGGGCGGUCCAUACAGAUCAGAGGACGUGAUGAGCUCAGCGGAGUUGGGCACAACAAGGAGGAUACCAUUUGGUGCCCAUUUAGUUGCUGUGCCUGUUAUGGCUUAGGAAUUACAAAAGCUAAUGAAGUACAGGAUGAAGGGAGUGCUGAUGUAAUCUUGUGUAACAGAAGGAAUGGCCACCUAGUUUUGCUUUCCAACUACAAACACCAUGGGGAUCUCGUGGUUUAAGGUUAAACAAUCCUAUUAAGAAAUGGGCAAAGGACCUGAACAGACACUUCUCCAAAGAGGACAUACAGAUGGCCAAUAGACAUAUGAAAAAAUAUUCAACAUCACUAAUCAUCAGAGAAAUGCAAAUGAAAACCAUGAUGAGAUAUCACCUCACAUCUGCCAGAAUGGCUAUCAUCAAUAAAUCAACAAACAAGUACGGGUAAGAAUGUGGAGAAAAGGCAACCCUUAUGCACUGUUGGUGGAAUGCAGACUGGUGCAAUCACUGUGGAAAACAGCAUGGAGUUAUCUCAAAAAAUUAAAAAUGGAACUGCCUUUUGACCCAUUGAGGCUACUUUUGGAAUAUAUACUAAGAAUUCUGAAAGAAUAUAUGCACCCCUAUGUUCAUUACAGUGUUAUUUAUAAUAGCCAAGAACUGGAAGCAGCUCAAGUGCCCAUCAGUAGAAGAAUGGAUGAAAACAUCUGUGGUACAUUUACACAAUGGACUAUUAUGCAGCAGUAAAAAGGGACAUCUUUCCUCUUGUGACAGCAUGGAUGGUCCUGGAAAUUAUUAUUCUAAGUGAUAUUAGCCAGCCAGAGAAAUACAGAUACCAUAUAAUUUCACUUAUAUGUGGAAUCUAAUGAACAAAAUAUAUUGAUGAACAUUAUAGAAAUAGUCAUGGCUACAUGGAACAGAUUGACAGCUGUCAGAGGGGAGGGGAAAGAGGAGACUGGAUGAAAGAAGGUGAGGGAUUAGCCAAAGAACAUAUAUACAUGACACAUAGACACGGACAACAGUGCGGUGAUG